rnacentral:SRP_RNA from 1 species
GCUGGGUAUGGUGGCAUGUGCCUAUAGUCCCAGCUACUCAGGAGGCUGAGGCAGGAGGAUUGAUGAGUCCAGGAGUUCUGGAAGGUAGUUCACUAUGUCUGUUGUGUGUCUUCACUAAGUUUUGCAUCUAUAUGGUGACCUCCUGGGAGUUGGGGACCGACCACUAGGUUACCUAAGGAGGGACAAACCAAAUUGGAAAUGGCGAAGGUCAAAACUCCCAUACUGAUCAGUAGUGGAGUGGAACCUGUGAGUAGCCACUGCACUCUAGCCUGGGCAACAUAGUGAGACCCUUUCUCU